rnacentral:rRNA from 1 species
UACGUAGGGGGCAAGCGUUGUCCGGAAUCAUUGGGCGUAAAUCGCGUGUAGGCGGCUCGGUAAGUCCGCUCUGAAAGCCCGGGGCUCAACCCCGGGAGGCGGGUGGAUACUGCUGAGCUCGAGUCCGGAAGAGGAGUGUGGAAUUCCUGGUGUAGCGGUGAAAUGCGCAGAUAUCAGGAGGAACACCAAUGGCGAAGGCAGCACUCUGGGACGGUACUGACGCUGAGACGCGAAAGCGUGGGGAGCAAGCAGG